rnacentral:misc_RNA from 1 species
GAUGAAGAACGUAGCGAAAUGCGAUAAGUAGUGUGAAUUGCAGAAUUCAGUGAAUCAUCGAAUCUUUGAACGCACAUUGCGCCUUCUAGUAUUCUGGGAGGCAUGCCUGUUUGAGCGUCAUUAAACCUCUCUCAAGUAUGAUUACUUGGAUGUGAAGGAAGAGUACCUUAAACUUAAGGAGUGUUCCCCUUUGAAAUUGAUUAGCAGAUGGUAAUGUUAUUAAAUCCCUGAUGUUGUAAGAAAUAACAGUGGUUUUGUAGACUAUUAUCUAGCUUUAAAUUAUAAUUUUUAUUAUGGUUGACCUCAAAUCAGGUAAGGAUACCCGCUGAACUUAAGCAUAUCAAUAAGCGGAGA